AAGAGGAUUCCUUGGUAGCUGACACAGAAGAGUAAAGAGAUUAAAGCACAUGGGAGGAAAAUGAUGUGUAAUGAAAUGAGCUUUUAUUGUAACUAAUACUUUUGCUUUUGGGGAAUGAUAGUUCUUUCCCCUCACAAAGUUUGAGUGAGCUAGUAAAACUCUCUAUGGAAGUUGAAACUUGUCUACAAAAAUGUUCAUUUUAAGAAGUCAAUCAUAGAAGUGAUUUCCUUCAAAAGUCAAAACAUCUAGUUUCCAGAAGUUCAAAGUUAUGUACAACUCCUGCCUGUCAUUCAGAUCCCUGCCCACCGCUGCCACACACACAAGAGGAGGGAAUAUCUUCUGAAGCAGUUGUAUUCUCCUAAUGCUGAAACAUCAUCAUUAGAAGAAAAUUUCCAAAAGCACAGGGAUGAUCUAUCUGUGUAUCCAAGUUGCCCUUGCCAUUGUUAUGACAUUGAAAGGGAGAAGGGAAGUCAGAAGAGAAAAAGGAGCAGAUGGAGCCAUCAUCAACUAAUGUACAUGUGUGACCAGCUUCUUGCUACUGUGAAUUAAGUGAGCAAGACUUGAGGCUCUCAAUGACAUGGGGAUAGCAAGUCUCCAGGAACAUCAUCAAAGCAAAAGUUGAGGAUUAACUGUAUAUACUUUUAUCUUGAAAACUAAAUAUCAUGUAUGUAUGUCAAACAUGAAGAAGCAGUCUGUCUUCAAUAAUUGCCAAGUUUAUGAGUUUUAGUUUCUAGCUUGUAAAUAACUGCUCAGCUCACAUUCUUCUUGACACAUUUUUAGAGAGCUCUUCACUGAAGUAUGGCAUGUCUUCCCUCUCUUACCUGUAACCUUCGUCCCAAUGACCAAAGGAAGAGGAAUCUCAUCUGGAAGAUCUUUGAAUUGGGAAACAUCUGCAACCUUCCUUUGUUGUAGGAGCCGAAUUUUUUGCCGUUUCUGUUUUAAUGCUGCUCUUUCUUCUUCAAAAAAUGCUGAAGAACACCUAGGAUACAUUAUUAAAUUAGCUAAAUAAAAUCUUGCUUAUUUAAUUAAAA